rnacentral:lncRNA from 1 species
AGCUUUCCGCCAUGGCUGCUUCCAAUACACCCAGCUCCAGCAUCAUUAACGUCAAACAGAAAUUUUGGACAACAUUUUCGCACCAUUUCUGUUGAUCUUCUUGGAUUUCAAUCUGAGUUUCGAAGUGAUAAAAGUCAAGUGAGUAAAAUGUAACGAAUUAGCGGGUGUUCAUUUGAAUGUUCAGGGUUUUGAGAGUUUGUUUCAGUGCUCAUUUGUAUUAUUCUUCGAACAUCAAAUUAAUUGGAGCAGUCGUUCGUCCGGGAGCAUUCAAGUGAUUUUGGGGCGAUAAUCGUUUCCGGACAGAUUUGUUUU